rnacentral:rRNA from 1 species
GACGUAGGGCGCAAGCGUUGUCCGGAUUUAUUGGGCGUAAAGGGCGCGUAGGCGGUCAGCACAAGUCAGUUGUGAAAUCUCCGGGCUUAACCCGGAAAGGUCAACUGAUACUGUGCGACUAGAGUGCGGAAGGGGCAACUGGAAUUCUCGGUGUAGCGGUGAAAUGCGUAGAUAUCGAGAGGAACACCUGCGGCGAAGGCGGGUUGCUGGGCCGACACUGACGCUGAGGAGCGAAAGCCAGGGGAGCAAACGGG